UUGUCCCGGAACUAGCUCUUGUA
rnacentral:piRNA from 1 species